UUGUUAGGUAUUUUGGUCACAACAUUGAAAACAAACAACAAGUAUUCUAACAUUGGAAUGAGAGAGAUUAGCAUAGCUCCUGUGCAAGAAUGACAUGCAAACUCAUGAAGAGCUCCAUAUUUUU
ensembl:snRNA U6 U6 spliceosomal RNA